GGCUGAGCAAGAGAGGCUGGGUCUGGUGGCAUCAAUCAAAUUGCCUCAACAUAGAGAUGAAUGUCUUUCUUCAGGGUUCCCCUGGUAUGUCUCCUAAGUGUGAAAUCACUUUGACUUCCUGAGCCUCCUGAGAAGAUUCCAGGGACUCUGGAGCCAAUCCUGCACCUAUUUCAUCUGUUUUCAAGAAAAAAGUCUGCAACCUCCCGGAGAAGGAAGCACCCCGUCUUCUGGAUGUCUACAGACC